AGCUGGCCAAAUUAUCAAGAUGCGUUGGUGAUAACCAGGCUGGGCAAUCAUUUAUUUCGUACAUUACUGCAAAGAUUCUUGAAAGUAUCCAAGUCUCCAUCAGAAAUCUGCAUGUCAUAUACUGUGACAGGUGAAGCGAAUCAGAGAGUGAGGGAGAGUGCAGAGAGCUAGAGAGAGAGAGAGAGAGAGAGAGACUGACAACAUGAGUGAAAGUGAGAAACAAAUGAGACAGAGAGAGAGAAGCGAUUCAAAGUGGGUCGUCCGACCGAAGGGCCUGGUGUCAGCAUGUAUAGCGGAACAACGCCAGCACCGUCAAUUUCCAAGCCCAUAAACGUGUGGGUAGAUAUACCCCCGAUGCAAUAUACAUGAAGCAGUACAGAAGAAUGUGGCAUUCAAAUAUCUAACAGAGAAGAGGUUUGUCAAGCUGGAUUGAGAUUUUUUCCUGCGCAUUUAGUUGAGUCAAUGUUGAGCUUGAAUUCCGAAAGUGAUCAAGGCAACAUUGGGUCCACUCUGUACAGCAUCGAUGAGCUGGUGAUGAAGGAUAUACAACUUUUAGAUUCUAUUGCAGAAAAACAAGCUCAAAUAUUCUCCAAGGAGUGCAAGUUGUUCCCUGCAGAUGUUAAAUUUCAAUCAUUAUAUCCACUUCUGCAGGGCAAGGUGAGCUGCUUGAUGAUCAAUGAUAUUGAUGCUGGCCUUGGUAGAUUAGCAAGGAACUCAAAUGACUGUCAACAAUAAAAUUGUUGUUGGAACUCUGAUGAAUCUGUCAGAUAAUCCUACAAGAGUGAGUAUUGGACAAGAUUGGCGAGAAUCAUAUGUCACAAAUAGAAUUCCUAUCAUUGUUACUAGAAAUGAUCUUUCAACUAUUUACGCUCCCUUGAUUCGUGAUGGAAGAAUGGAAAAGUUCUACUGAAACUACAGGUUUUGUGCAAUAAGCUUAUCACUCAGAGAGUCCUCAAACUCCAACUUAUCACUCAUAUUCUUCUCUUUAAAGAACUUCCUAAAUUUCUUGGCCAAUAAGGUUUCUGCCUCUUCAUGAGAAGAAUCCUCAUCGGAGGACUCAACAAUCUCCUCACCCAGAUUGUAACUUGAAUUCACUAUAUCGUUUAAAAAGGUACAAGGAUUUCUAGUCUCAAAACUGGAACCGCUGGUAGCAAAGGUGGGUGAUUUUGAUAGCUGUCAAAAAUAAGAUUUUUUAUUUUAUUUUCCUGAUGUAAUGAAAAAUGGGACGCUAUAGAUAUUGUGGAUAACAUAUUAUGUACUGAAAUUGCUUGUAUCUAAACCCUUUUCAUAUUUAUUUU